CCAGGGAAUAAUAACUCCUCAACAAGUAUAUACUCUACUAGUAAUCCAGCACAUUCUAGCCAGCUUGGGAAUGUCAACCUGGACCAGGGAAUAAUAACUCCUCAACAAGUAUCUACUCUACUAGUAAUCCAGUACAUUCUAGCCAGCUUGGGAACGUCAAACUGGUUGGAGAAAUAAUAACUCCUCAACACAUAUCUACUAGUAAUCCAGUACAUUCUAGCCAGGUUGGGAAUGUCAAACUGGACCAGGGAAUAAUAACUUCUCAACAAGUAUCUACUCUACUAGUAAUCCAGUACAUUCUAGCCAGCUUGGGAACGUCAAACUGGUUGGAGAAAUAAUAACUCCUCAACACUUGUCUACUCUACUAGUAAUCCAGUACAUUCUAGCCAGGUUGGGAACGUCAAACUGGACCAGGAAAUAAUAACUCCUCAACAAGUAUCUACUCUACUAGUAAUCCAGUACAUUCUAGCCAGGUUGGGAACGUCAAACUAGUUGGAGAAAUAAAACUCCUCAACACGUAUCUACUCUACUAGUAAUCCAGUACAUUCUAGCCAGGUUGGGAACGUCAAACUGGUUGUUGAAAUAAUAACUCCUCAACAAGUAUCUACUAGUAAUCCAGUACAUUCUACUCAGCUUGGGAACAUCAAACUGGUUGUUGAAAUAAUAACUCCUCAACAAGUAUCUACUCUACUAGUAAUCCAGUACAUUCUAGCCAGCUUGGGAACAUCAAACUGGACCAGGAAAUAAUAACUCCUCAACAAGUAUCUACUCUACUAGUAAUCUAAUACAUUCUAGCCAGGUUGGGAGCAUCAAACUGGACCAGGAAAUAAUAACUCCUCAACACGUAUCUACUCUACUAGUAAUCCAGUACAUUCUAGCCAGCUUGGGAACAUCAAACUGGUUGGAGAAAUAAUAACUCCUCAACAAGUAUCUACUCUACUAGUAAUCCAGUACAUUCUAGCCAGGUUGGGAGCAUCAAAUUGGACCAGGAAAUAAUAACUCCUGAAUGUGUGUUUACUCUACUAGUAAUACACAUAUCAACACUGGAAAUAUUUAUAUAAUUUUCAGCCUUGAAAAAUACUGCUAAGUUUAUGUGAAAUAAAGAGGUUGCCACAUAAACCAUUUUAGUAUUCUUUGUGUAGAAAAUGAAAUUUUCCUGCUUGAGGUAACUGAUCUUAUGUUAAUUAAAAACACAAGUCUAAUAUUCCUUCUCUGCAUUCAAAAUGUGUUAUUCCUUUUACGUGCAGUGUGUCUCUUGUAUCUUGUGUUUCUUUAUGAUAAAUAUAAAUUGUAACAUGAUUUUUGCAUAAAAAUGUCACGUUUCUUGGUUUUGAAGUGUUUAGUAAAACACAGGAACAAUUAAUGUCAUGAAGUGAUACUUUUCAGUGUGUUUUGUUGUUGGAUUUUGACAGAUGCUCACUAUGAUUUUGAGGAUGAACCUGUGUUUUGUAAUCCAGGUUUUGCUCGGCAAGAACAACCAAUGAACUGUUGCCCUUGGUGUAAAAAGUUGUACAAGUACAAUACUUUCCUGAUCCGUCACAUGCACUACCACUGUAAGCUGAAGCCCAAGUGAGUGUUCAUUUACUUCCAAGAUAUCAAAUCUCUGAUUCUGAAUGGAAGAAGCAAACAAUAUAUAUAUUUUUUGUACUAGUUUUACUUUGAGUGGAAGAAGAUUUCAGAAUACAAAGAAGCAAACCGUG